UAAAAUAUAAUAAAUGUCAAACUGAAAAAUUGUAAGUGGCUCUCGCUUAUGGGAAAGGCGGCCAUAGGAAAACCGAAAAACUAUACUAGCUUCUCGCUUUUCCGGGGGAAUCUUAUGUCCACCCGCAUUUUU